GACGAGGGGUCCAAGCGUUGUUCGGAAUUACUGGGCGUAAAGGGCGCGUAGGCGGCCUUCUAAGUCAGACGUGAAAUCCCCCGGCUUAACCUGGGAACUGCGUCUGAUACUGGGGGGCUUGAGUAUGGGAGAGGGAUGUAGAAUUCCAGGUGUAGCGGUGAAAUGCGUAGAUAUCUGGAGGAAUACCGGUGGCGAAGGCGGCAUCCUGGACCAUUACUGACGCUGAGGCGCGAAAGCUAGGGGAGCAAACGGG
rnacentral:rRNA from 1 species